UGUGCAGAUGGAUAGCUAGUAGGUGGGUAACGGCUCACCUAGGCGACGAUCCCUAGCUGGUCUGAGAGGAUGACCAGCCACACUGGAACUGAGACACGGUCCAGACUCCUACGGGAGGCAGCAGUGGGGAAUAUUGCACAAUGGGCGCAAGCCUGAUGCAGCCAUGCCGCGUGUAUGAAGAAGGCCUUCGGGUUGUAAAGUACUUUCAGCGGGGAGGAAGGCGCUGAGGUUAAUAACCUCAGCGAUGACGUUACCCGCAGAAGAAGC
rnacentral:rRNA from 1 species